ACUAUUCACAGUUCAGCCAAUUCAAAACAACAUUCAACCGUCGUAAAUGUAUUUCAGCUUGACGUUAAAGUUCGUUACUCUGCAUUCAAUGCAGUCAAUGGAUGCUAACCACGUUGUGCAGUCCGUGUGGUGUGAAUGAAUCCACCCUUACCGCAUCCACGUUGGCUAAUAUCUCACUAAAGGAAUCAACUUGUGGUCGAAAUAACGAUGGCACCAAACAGUCCUACCGCAACUCUGAUUCGAGCGAUGUGUGUUCUCCUCCGAAAUGCAGAUGAAGCUGGAAGAUGCCACUCGAUAGUGGUUCAACUCUCAUUGGGUAUAGCUCGCCAUCUUGUCUCAUCAAUCGUAAUGUGGCUCGUCAAUCGUAACGUGGCUUCAGAACUCCCAGACUACUCGACAAUUUCUCAGUCCAAAAAACAAUAUCAAAGUACAAAUAAAACACAGUCUAUCUCUAUAGACGUAAGCUACAACAAACGUCAACACAUAGCGAUGUGUGUUGACAGUCUAUUUUCUUGCUGUAUCCUAUUUUAAUAUGUCAUACUUAUUGCUGAAACAACUAUUUAAUUCAACAUUAAUAAUUACAUUAUUUUUUAAUCACGUGGGCUGUCCUUAAAGAUUAAAUGCUAGUUAGCAUGCUAAGGUCAGUAAGUCAAUUCAACGGAAGCUAGCUGUGUUUACAUCUCCUUCUACUUUCCGUUUACUAAUAUUUAAUUAUAUUAAUUCAUGAAUUAAUAUCAGUAAUUUCAGAUACCUUCAUCAGUAACUGGAGGCCACUGUCUGACAUCGUCCAACCAAGUAACUUUAUUCAUUUGGGGUUCUGGUUAUCUUGCUAUUAUUGAUAGCAUCAAUGACUGUUGAAUGGAUAAUGAGUGUAAUGAUUGAGCACGCACACCGCAGCAAUGGCCCCGUCGCUAGAUGGCGACAUACACAAAUCGCUCACCGAAUCGGUGUAUAGCGUCUUACUUCUUGAAAAGUUUUCUUCUUCUGAUGUUUCACGCGUGAACAAACGUUACAGCCAAUCUGAUUGGCUGAAACAACUGUACUUUCUUAAAGUGACAGGAUAUCUAUUUUAACUUAGAAGCUUACAGAAUGAAUUAACAUGAAUGAAUCAUUACUUGUAAUCCUAUUUAUCAAACUAAAUCAUGGGCUUUUAUUUAAAAUGAUGAAAUUAUGUUUGAUAAUUAUUCUUAUUUAUUAACCAGUUGAUUGAGCAGCAGGGUUCUGAAUCAGCUGCAGCUUUCUAAUGGAUUUCUUGAAGACACCAUUACAGUAAUCCAGUAUACUGAGGAUAAAAGCAUGGACAAGUUUUUCCAGAUCCUGCUGUGACAGUAGUCCUUUAAUCCUAGAUUCAUUCUUAAGGUGAUAGCAGGCCGCCUUAGUGAUUGUUGUAAUUUGACUGUUGAAGUUCAGGUCUGAGUCCAGGACUACACCUAGAUUUCUUGCUUUAUUUCUUGUAUUGAGCAUUGCCAACUGAAUCUCUGCGCUAACUGGUUAUGCAACCAGUGAUUUAUGAAAAGGAAGCAGCACCAAAAGAAAAAUCCUGUGACUGUCCUCAAGGCCCUAAAAGGGAUGCAUAGUUUCACCUUAGAACCUAAAAUGUUGGGUCACAUUGUGUGGUGCCAUGGAGAAUAUUCAGGUGUUUGGGGAGUAUAGACAGGGAUGUUUUCAGGACUGCUACUGUAAGAAAUAAUAAAUAUAUUGAAACGGAACAUUAAAACAUAAUUCACUGUUUCUGGACGGACCAUAUUUGUCCAAUUCCGGUAGUAUUACCGGAUGUUGUUUUUAGCCUCAGAUAGCAUAUAGGCUAGCUAACAUUGUAUUGUAUAUAUGAGUAGAGGGAGAAGGACGCGUGGAGUUACAUACUAAACACACCGCCUCUACCUCUCACUCAUUGAUGCUGCAAUGAUACUAUUGCGUGUUUAAUAACUGAUAAACCUCAGAAGAAUUGCAUAAUAGAAUAUCGUAGGUGAGAGCUUCAGGACAUCACUAACAAGAUGGCGACAGUGAGGUCAUAGGAAGACCCGCCCCCAACGACGUCAGCCAAUAGAAGAGUCUGGAGAACCCCAUGUGACAACAAGCGGCCAACAGGAUCCAGCCCCCGCUACCAACCAAUGAGAGCACGAGACCGGAGCACGUCUUAUUUUGAAGUUGUUUAUUGUAUGGCCGGAAAGGGAUGGUUCUAUAAAACAUGUUUGUAUUUUGAAAUCGAUCUCUCUUUUGUUCUGGACCGCCAGACAGUAACUACUGAUGAGCUCCACUCAUUCAGCGGCCUGUGGACGUGUGUACCGGGCUAUUGAGCCACAACAGUGAAACUUUUGUAAAACCUACUGCUCCAUCCUUUUGUUAAAUACUCCUUUUAAAACUUAUGUGAGGAGCUUCACUUCCUUUUUUUUUAAAUCGACUCCUGGACUUCGAAAAUAAAAGAACAUUUCUUACACAAGCAAGGGUAUACAUUAAACAGUUACCAUCAGUUCAAGAGUUAAACCAUAUUUCAGUCGGGGACGCUACAUAUACCUUCCUCACACUACAGGGCCUACCAAAGCAGGGUUACUCCAACAGCUGUGGGGUGUUUGUAUUGAUGGUAAGAUAAUGGUUUUUCACUAGUCCUGUUGGGGAUACUGGGGGGGCACGUCUUCUCUAUUAAAAAAUAUAAUCCUUUGGGGGGUUGCUGUUUUUAUUAUUGUUAUCACUAUUACUAUUAUAAACCACUCACUUCUCUGAAUUUACAGUAGGCACUGUAGGCUACAUUGUAUUGGAUGGCAAUGUGAUUUCGCUGAGGUAUGUAUAAAUAUGUAAAUAUAUUAUCACUAGUGGAUGCAAGUUUUUUUUGGCGUACAUGUUAACCCUGUAUGACUAUAUUUGUCAGAGAUAAAACAUGCUGCAGAUAAGGCGAUGGUGGUGUCUCAUUCUUCUUAAGAACUUUCCCAUGCCGUGUGCAGAAGAGACUUUGCGAAAAAGAAAGAGGCUACGUGAACAAAAACCCUACAGACAAUACUGAACGCCAAUCGCAGAGCGAACCUGGGAACUUGCUGACCAAUCAGCACCCAGGACCAGCCAUAAAGGAGACAACCAGGAAGCCUUCUCAGGGUCUCACUGCUGGGCCUGCUGCUGACUGGAGAGCCUCAAUUUGACUGCGUGUUAAAGCAUUGUGACAAUUGUGUAUCCUGUGCUAUAUGUUGUGACUGUGUGUGUGUGUGGUGGGAGGUGGAGGAGUUAGGUAAGUUUGGGGUACCCUUUACAUCUCAUCACGUAGAUAACAUAUGUUAGACACACUAGGUUAGCGGAUUGUUGCCACCCCUGUAUUUUGCUUUGUCCACUUAUUAGUAGUUCAGGAAGUGAGGGUUUUUGGUUGAGUUUGUUUCAGAAGAUGUAGGGAUAGGCCUGGUUUUUGUUAUAUUUAUUUCUUUUAUUUGGCACAAUCUCCCUUGUCUCCUCCUCCUCCUCACCUGAAGAACAUGUGUUGUUCAUUCUUUAGUGAUUAGAAAUAAACAUUGUCUUUCUGCAUUUAAUCUGACUUGCUCAUUAAUUGGUUGUCGUGUGUUACUGUCUCCAGGUCCCCUAGACUUUAGUGGGGACGUAACACAAAUGGGGGCUCGUCUGGGAUACUUUUUCCUGAGCUAAAGACAACCACUAUUGGGAAGUCACUGUAGUUGUGACAGUUUGGCUGAGAAAAUGGGUUUUGAAUUAAAGGGAUUUCAUCAAAAAUCCAAGUUGUGAUAAGUUGGAUUCAUGUCGCAAAGAUGACUUGUUAUGUAUUGCAGCUCACUAUAACAUUUCAGUAGACAGGUAUUGUUUAAAAAAAGAGCUAAACGAGAUAGUUCUGCAAAAACUUGAGGAGUUAAAAAUACUUGUAAGCCCAGUCUUGUCAACUCAGCCUAGGUCUGAUGUGUUUGUUGAUGAUAGUGAAACCAUUGUUGGCGCUUCGUUUUUAGAACAGAAGGGUCAGGCUAUCUUAACUACACCUUGAGUGGACAAGGUUAAUCUUGAGGCUCUUCCAGCAACGCUUCGUAGGUUUGAGGCUUUCUCUCCGGGUAGCUUAGGUUCAAGUAGUGAUGCCAGACUGAAGGUUCGUCUUGCCCGUCUUCAGCUGGAGGUCCAGGAGAAGGAAAUGGCACGUAGAGCAGACUAUGAACACAAACUGCAGAUUCGCAAGUUAGAGAUAGAAGCUGAGAAGGAGAUCACGUUGAAGCGGCUUGAAAUCGAAGCCCUGAGAAUCUCUUCAGAGAAGACCUUGUCACAGACACUUGAGAGGUCAAUACCUUCGCUCACAGACCCUCAUACUAAAUGUUUUGACGUUAGCAAACAUAUUGCUUUGGUACCAAUUUUUAGAGAGUCAGAGGUUGACUCAUAUUUUUGUGCUUUUGAGAGAAUUGCAACUGCACUAAUUUGGCCUAAAGACAUGUGGCCAAUCCUACUUCAGUGCAAAUUAGUCAGUAAAGCUCAGGAAGUGGUAUCGUCACUCUCUUUGGAAGAAAGCUUGCAGUACGAGGUGCUUAAAGAGUCGAUCUUGCGUGCUUAUGAGCUUGUACCUGAGGCCUACAGGCAAAAAUUCAGAAACCGCAAAAAAUCUGCUACGCAGACAUUUGUUGAGUUUGCGCGAGAAAAGGGUGUUCUCUUUGAUAAAUGGUGUGCAGCAAGUGAAGUGAAGGAUCGUUUUGAGUCUCUUCGUCAAUUGCUUCUCUUAGAAGAUUUUAAGAACCCUUUGCCCGAAAGGUUGGUAAUAUUCCUAAAUGAGCAGAAGGUCACUUCACUGUCUAGGGCAGCGGUCUUGGCGGAAGAAUUUGUACUCACUCACAAAAGUGUGUUUUCUUCUUCCUUACGCCCAGACAAGGCUGCAGUGUCUCAAACUGGGAGACCUGAUCUUGGCCCCACUCCUUUUGAAAAAUCUAGAGGACCACCAUCACCUCCUCGGGGGCCUCGUGAGUGUUACUACUGCCAUAAAACAGGUCACCUUAUUUCAGAGUGUCUUACCUUGAAGCGCAAACAGCAACCUUCACUACGUUUACAAACGCCAAAAGGCAUGGGGCUCAUUAAAGAAGUGUCACUAUCGGACAUUGAAAGAUCACAGGAGGAUGAUGUACCUGAUCCCUGUUUCAAACCAUUUAUUUCAAAGGGCUUUGUUUCUUUAACAGGGGAUCCUGGAGACCAGCUGCCAGUGCAGGUACUUGGGGACACAGGAGGUUCUCAGUCUAUCAUCAGAGAAGGCAUCAUGUUGUUCAAGUGCUGUUGUUCAAGGUGUAGGCAUGACACUAGUUGCGGCCCCUUUGCACAAUGUUUAUAUUUCCACAACUCUUGUAAAAGGGUUCUUUAAAGUAGCCGUUCUCCCUGCCUUGCCCAUCAAAGGGGUGGAUUUCAUUCUUAGUAAUGACUUGGCAGGGGGCAAAGUUAGGCCAGUACCGGAGGUCACUCAUUCUCCUGAUUUAAGUUUAGACGCAGGUAAAAUAGCUGAAGUACUUCCUGAGAUCUUUCCUGCGUGUGUGGUUACAAGGGCCCAGUCAAAAAAAUAUGGAGAUGACUUGUCUAACUCUUUUCUUGCUACAGGGCAGUUUCCUCAUGUCAUGACUGAGUCGGACAAGCUGCCAGAGGAGGCCCGGUCUGCUGGUGCUGGAUCAUCCCGUAACUGCACAGAACUUGUAUAACUGCCUGCCUCUAGGGAAGAAUUCUUGGCAGCCCAGCUAAGUGAUAAAACACUUUCCAAAUGUCUCUCUUCUGUUACCAGUGAGGAAGACGCCAAGUCAAAGAAGAGGGCCUACAUUAUCGAGGAUGGCCUAUUAAUGCGUCGCUGGGUUGGUGAGGCCUGUGAAGAGUCAGACUCCUGUGCAGGCAUAUCUGGAUGACAUUGUGGUCUAUUCUAAUGAAUGGCCUAGCCACAUGAGUACCUUAAGUGACGUAUUUAAAUGCUUGUAGGCUGCAUCCCUAACACUAAACCUUGCCAAAUGUGAGUUUGGAAAAGGUACCGUCCUCUACCUUGGUCAACAGUUUGGCCAAGGGCAGGUGUGCCCUGCUGAUGCAAAGAUCAGGGCAAUUGCCUCCCUGCCGGUGCCAUCCACCAGGAGGGAACUUCGCCACUUCCUGGGAAUGGCAGGGUACUAUCGCCGUUUUUGCAGAAACUUCUCCUCGGUGGCAGCCCCACUGACUACGUUGACCAGUCCCUCCAAACCUUUUGUAUGGUCUGGGAAGUGCCAACACUCAUUUGAAAGCCUUAAGGGUAUUCUGUGUUGCUCUCCUGUUCUUUCUGCACCUGACUUUUCGAUACCCUUCAAGCUUGAGGUCGAUGCCAGUGGAGUUGGAGCAGGGGCCGUUCUUCUGCAACCAGAUGCACUGGGCAUCGAUCAUCCCGUGAGUUACUUCUCCCGGAAGUUUAACAAACAUCAAGUUAAGUACUCCACCAUUGAGAAGGAAGCUUUAGCCCUAUUGUUUGCCUUGCAGCACUUUGAGGUCUAUGUUGGCUCCAGUGUCAAACCUAUUCAGGUAUAUACUGACCAUAAUCCCCUGGUUUUUCUUGCAAGAAUGUAAUCACAAUCAACGCCUUAUGCGUUGGUCAUUGAUUGUUGGGAACUACAACCUUGAAAUAAGCCAUAAAAAGGGAGCCGAUAAUAUUCUGGCUGAUGCACUCUCGUGCUAUGUAAAGGUUAUUGUCAGGUCCAAACAUACUGUUUGGAUUUAUAUGUGUAGGGGUGUUACGUGCCGGGCAGGCUGUACUUUUGUUUCUUGCCUCCUGCUCUUUUCUCUACUCCCUGUCAUUCGCUACAGCUAAUCAGCAGCUGAUCAGUACCUGCCUGGGCAUCUCUGAUUGAUGACUGAUUACCUCCUCUCAACCUCAGCUGACCAAUCAGCACCCAGGACCAGCCAUAAAGGAGACAACCAGGAAGCCUUCUCGGGGUCUCACUGCUGGGCCUGCUGCUGACUGGAGAGCCUCAAUUUGACUGCGUGUUAAAGCAUUGUGACAAUUGUGUAUCCUGUGCUAUAUGUUGUGACUGUGUGUGUGGUGGGAGGUGGAGGAGUUAGGUCCCCUAGACUUUAGUGGGGACGUAACAGUGCCAAACCCAAUCGUUUAACAGCAGAGUUUCCCUCCCGGCGGUGAUUGGGAUGGACGGAGAAGACCAGAAGAGAGCCUUAAGAGAGCUGAGAUCGGAUGACGGCACGGAUGAGGAAGAAACCCAUCUCGUGAUGGAAGCGUUCCUUUUUUAUUUCAAAUUCCAAUGAGAUUAUGAACAUUUCUGUGGGGAGUUACUUGACAAGAGGAACUUAAAAUGAUUUGCCUCUUUUGAGGAGUGCCAGUGAGGCUAUUUGCGUGCUGUGUGUGUGUGUGUGUUCAUUAUUGUCUUGUUAAGAUUAGUUUGCUGUGACUUAU